UCAAGUGGACCUUCAGUUCGUACGAACUGUCAAAUCCUGCAAAGCGUUGUCAAUCUGACGAAGUCUAACAAUCCAAACUUCACUAUCAAGAAAAUGCUAGAGGCAUCGCCUGCUUGUGAUUCGACUGUGUCUAGCAUGGACUCAGCAGAGCUCUCUUCGUAUGGUGAUGUUAAUAGAGAAGGACUAAGAUGUAGAGUCUGGUCGAAUCAAGAGGUCUACGGACUAGUCAAGAAAGAUAAGUUAUCCAGAUGUGACUUCUUACACAUUCUGAUGCAGGGCUGUAUGAAGGAUGACAGAAAAGUGGAAACGUAUUUGUUGUUCUUGGGUUAGUGGCGAAGAAGACAGUUCAUAGAUGCAGAACCAUGGGGACACUUGAUGACUUGGCAUCUUUCCAUGUGAUGGAUGCUGUUUUUGUUUUGUCAGUGAAUAGAUUUGUUCAUACUCGUUACUCCAUAGUAUAGUGUUACAAAAGACCCAGACCUCGCGAUUUGCCCCAUAGACAAUCAGGAUUUGGGCAUCCUUUUUUUUUGCUGUGCAUAUAUAGUACCAGAGCAUUACGGAAACAUUGGCGAUUUGCCAAUACAUGUUUUGUAGGUAAACAGCAAUACUUACGUGCGGCAUUGUACGGAGAUUCGUUUUUACAGAUGUA